CUACGGGAAGCAGCAGUGGGGAAUAUUGGACAAUGGGCGAAAGCCUGAUCCAGCCAUGCCGCGUGAGUGAUGAAGGCCUUAGGGUUGUAAAGCUCUUUCGCCAGGGACGAUAAUGACGGUACCUGGAUAAGAAGCCCCGGCUAACUUCGUGCCAGCAGCCGCGGUAAUACGAAGGGGGCUAGCGUUGUUCGGAAUCACUGGGCGUAAAGCGCAUGCAGGCGGACUGAUAAGUCAGGGGUGAAAGCCCGAGGCUCAACCUCGGAACUGCCUUUGAUACUGUCAGUCUUGAGUCCGGGAGAGGUGAGUGGAACUCCGAGUGUAGAGGUGAAAUUCGUAGAUAUUCGGAAGAACACCAGUGGCGAAGGCGGCUCACUGGCCCGGUACUGACGCUGAGAUGCGAAAGCGUGGGGAGCAAACAGGAUUAGAUACCCCGGUAGUCC
rnacentral:rRNA from 1 species